rnacentral:rRNA from 1 species
GACGAACGCUGGCGGCGUGCUUAACACAUGCAAGUCGAACGGAAAGGCCCUGCUUUGGUGGGGUGCUCGAGUGGCGAACGGGUGAGUAACACGUGAGUAACCUGCCCUUGACUUUGGGAUAACGUCAGGAAACUGGGGCUAAUACCGGAUAGGAGCUCCUGCUGCAUGGUGGGGGUUGGAAAGUUUCGGCGGUUGGGGGUGGACUCGCGGCGUAUCAGCUUGUUGGUGGGGUAGUGGCUUACCAAGGCUUUCACGGGUAGCCGGCCUGGGAGGGUGACCGGCCACAUUGGGACUGAGAUACGGCCCAGACUCCUACGGGAGGCAGCAGUGGGGAAUAGUGCACAAUGGGCGGAAGCCUGACGCAGCAACGCCGCGUGCGGGAUGACGGCCUUCGGGUUGUAAACCGCUGUCGCCUGUGACGAAGCGUGAGUGACGGUAAUGGGUAAAGAAGCACCGGCUAACUACGUG